UAAGGAAUAUUGGACAAUGGUUGCAAGACUGAUCCAGCCAUGCCGCGUGCAGGAAGACGGCCCUAUGGGUUGUAAACUGCUUUUGUACCAGAGAAAACCUAUCUACGUGUAGAUAGCUGAUAGUAUGGUAAGAAUAAGCAUCGGCUAACUUCGUGCCAGCAGCCGCGGUAAGACGAAGGAUGCAAGCGUUAUCCGGAUUCAUUGGGUUUAAAGGGUGCGUAGGCGGGCUUGUAAGUCAGUGGUGAAAUCUCUCAGCUUAACUGAGAAACUGCCAGUGAUACUGCAGGCCUAGAGUAUAGAUGACGUUGGCGGAAUAUGACAUGUAGUGGUGAAAUACUUAGAUAUGUCAUAGAACACCGAUUGCGAAGGCAGCUAACGAAACUAUAACUGACGCUGAGGCACGAAAGUGCGGGGAUCAAACA
rnacentral:rRNA from 1 species